rnacentral:rRNA from 1 species
GACGAACGCUGGCGGCGUGCUUAACACAUGCGAGUCGAACGGAAAGGCCCUGCUUGCCGGGUGCUCGAGUGGCGAACGGGUGAGUAACACGUGGGUGAUCUGCCCCUUACUUUGGGAUAAGCCUGGGAAACUGGGUCUAAUACUGGAUAGGACCAUGCUGUAGGUGGUGUGGUGGAAAGAUUAGUUUCGGUAAGGGAUGAGCUCGCGGCCUAUCAGCUUGUUGGUGGGGUAAUGGCCUACCAAGGCGUCGACGGGUAGCCGGCCUGAGAGGGUGGACGGCCACAUUGGGACUGAGAUACGGCCCAGACUCCUACGGGAGGCAGCAGUGGGGAAUAUUGCACAAUGGGCGCAAGCCUGAUGCAGCGACGCCGCGUGGGGGAUGACGGCCUUCGGGUUGUAAACUCCUUUCAGCCAUGACGAAGCCCUUGUGGUGACGGUAGUGGUAGAAGAAGCACCGGCUAACUACGU